rnacentral:rRNA from 1 species
GACGAACGCUGGCGGCGUGCUUAACACAUGCAAGUGGUGCGACGAACCAGACUUCGGUCUGGGGCAAAGCCGCGAACGGGUGAGUAACACGUGAGUAAUCUGCCCCGAUGACCGGGACAACCCGAGGAAACUCGGGCUAAUACCGGAUGAUGAGCCUUGGCGUAAGCCUUGUCUCUAAAGGAAGCUUCGGCCUCCGCAUCGGGAGGAGCUCGCGGCCCAUUAGCUUGUUGGUGGGGAAUGGCCUACCAAGGCAACGAUGGGUAGCUGGUCUGAGAGGACGAUCAGCCACACUGGAACUGAGACACGGUCCAGACUCCUACGGGAGGCAGCAGUGGGGAAUCUUGCGCAAUGCGCGAAAGCGUGACGCAGCAACGCCGCGUGGGGGAAGACGGCC